rnacentral:rRNA from 1 species
CAAUAGCGUAUAUUAAAGUUGUUGCAGUUAAAAAGCUCGUAGUUGGAUUUCGGGGCAGCCUGGCUGGUCCGCCGCAAGGCGAGUACUGGUCAGCCGCCCUUCCUCUCGAAAGCCCCGACUGCUCUUCGUUGCAGUGGUCGGGUAGUUCGGGACGUUUACUUUGAAAAAAUUAGAGUGUUCAAGGCAGGCCUACGCCUGAAUACAUUAGCAUGGAAUAAUGGAAGAGGACCUCGGUCCUAUUUUGUUGGUUUCCAGGGCCGAAGUAAUGAUUAAGAGGGACAGUUGGGGGCAUUCGUAUUUAAUUGUCAGAGGUGAAAUUCUCGGAUUUAUGAAAGACGAACAACUGCGAAAGCAUUUGCCAAGGACGACCCCAUUAA